rnacentral:rRNA from 1 species
GGGUGGUAAUGCCGGAUGCUCCAGUUGAUCGCAUGGUCUUCUGGGAAAGSUUUCGCGGUAUGGGAUGGGGUCGCGUCCUAUCAGCUUGACGGCGGGGUAACGGCCCACCGUGGCUUCGACGGGUAGCCGGCCUGAGAGGGCGACCGGCCACAUUGGGACUGAGAUACGGCCCAGACUCCUACGGGAGGCAGCAGUGGGGAAUAUUGCACAAUGGGCGCACAGCCUGAUGCAGCGACGCCGCGUGAGGGAUGGAGGCCUUCGGGUUGUAAACCUCUUUUAUCGGGGAGCAAGCGAGAGUGAGUUUACCCGUUGAAUAAGCACCGGCUAACUACGUGCCAGCAGCCGCGGUAAUACGUAGGGUGCAAGCGUUAUCCGGGAUUAUUGGGCGUAAAGGGCUCGUAGGCGGUUCGUCGCGUCCGGUGUGAAAGUCCAUCGCUUAACGGUGGAUCCGCGCCGGGUACGGGCGGGCUUGAGUGCGGUAGGGGAGACUGGAAUUCCCGGUGUAACGGUGGAAU